rnacentral:rRNA from 1 species
GACGAACGCUGGCGGCGUGCUUAACACAUGCGAGUCGAACGGAAAGGCCCUGCUUUUGUGGGGUGCUCGAGUGGCGAACGGGUGAGUAACACGUGAGUAACCUGCCCUUGACUUUGGGAUAACUUCAGGAAACUGGGGCUAAUACCGGAUAGGAGCUCCUGCUGCAUGGUGGGGGUUGGAAAGUUUCGGCGGUUGGGGAUGGACUCGCGGCUUAUCAGCUUGUUGGUGGGGUAGUGGCUUACCAAGGCUUUGACGGGUAGCCGGCCUGAGAGGGUGACCGGCCACAUUGGGACUGAGAUACGGCCCAGACUCCUACGGGAGGCAGCAGUGGGGAAUAUUGCACAAUGGGCGGAAGCCUGAUGCAGCAACGCCGCGUGCGGGAUGACGGCCUUCGGGUUGUAAACCGCUUUCGCCUGUGACGAACCGUGAGUGACGGUAAUGGGUAAAGAAGCACCGGCUAACUACGUG